UUUGCAUUUUUUGUACACAAUAGAUAUGUUAUGGCGCAAUUUCGAAGCGACGAAAUCACCUUACCUCGGUAACUAGCGAAUAGCUGGGAGGGCUAACUACGAACUAACCAGUGGAACUGGAGAGUUGUGCGGGGGUGACUGAACGGAUGAAACCCCGCAUAUCGAUUAAAGAAUUGGAAAAAAUGGAGAAAGCAGACUGCAUUCAGCCAUAGAGGUUGAAUUGUGGGAUAUUGUGGAAUAGCUAUCUAUUAUCGUGGGUCAGAGAAAGAGAUCGUCGGGUUGAUUCCAGGGCUUUGCAUGGCACUACCAAGGGAGUUACAUAGUUGGGUGAAAACAU
rnacentral:sRNA from 1 species